CAUUGCUAUAGUCUACUGCUUGACAACGUGCAGAAAGCAACAGACCACACUCCCUGGCAACGAGGUGCUCUCGGACGAGAUCCAUGGAUAUAUCUGCGUGGUCUCCAUGACAGCGCUUUGCGGCGCUAUGGGAACAUUGGUAUCGGCACGCUCACGGGCUGCCAAGGGGAAAGCGCAAGGCUGGGGCUGUUCAGUGACGUGCCAAUGGCACACAGUCCCUCCAUGAAGGGAUGUUCUCGACAAGUGGAGGUCUUCUUGACCUUGUGGCCGCAGAAAUGUUAUGGUAAGUAUUGGGGAGACCAGUAAACA
rnacentral:lncRNA from 1 species